rnacentral:rRNA from 1 species
AUGACUUCUGCAAUAUUUGGUGGCCGCAUUGCUCAGCUGGGCUCUGAUAUGCGGAAGAAACUCAAGGCCGCCUAUAUGCUGAUUGAGCUGUUGUAUACCGGUGCCCAACGGGUUAUCUGUGCAACUUCUUAUGACAAUGCAGCCCCAACAUUGAUCAAGGACACUCUGGCCAAGUUAUCUACAACGCCAGCAGAGAUAAAAGAGGUGAAGCGGUCCGCUGCCAGAGCUGGCGCUUUGUUAGCACUGACCCGAGCCAAGGCAUGGAUAGCUGACCUUGAUCCGGUCGAUAUCGCCAAGGGCUUUCAUAGUGAACAGGAAAAUGGGGCAGUGUUUGACAAUGAUACCCUCAAACGUGUGACAAGAGAGAUGCGUCCUCUGGCGAGUCAACUUGCAGAAGAAGCAAACUUGAUGGUUCACCGGUUCUUCUAUGAUGCUGACAACAAACGGGUUGAGGCUGUCAUUCCGGAAGUGCAAAAUCUUAUUCCGCCAAUCCGUAAGCAUACUUACGCCCCUGACGUUGAUCCGACUGAUCCUAUAAGUGAAGAGGCUGUCUUUCAGGCCUUAACCCGGAUUGACUAG